GUUUUUGUAGCUUAAGAUGAAAGCGGGGAGCUUUUAACUCCUAGAUGCAGUCAAUCUGUCGGAAACU
rnacentral:tRNA from 1 species